rnacentral:rRNA from 1 species
GACGAACGCUGGCGGCGUGCUUAACACAUGCAAGUCGAACGAUGAAGCCGGAGCUUGCUCUGGUGAAUUAGUGGCGAACGGGUGAGUAACACGUGAGUAACCUGCCCUUGACUCUGGGAUAACUGCGGGAAACUGUAGCUAAUACCGGAUACGACCCUCGGAGGCAUCUCCUGGGGGUGGAAAGAAUUUCGGUCAAGGAUGGACUCGCGGCCUAGCAGCUAGUUGGUGAGGUAAAGUCUCACCAAGGCGACGACGGGUAGCCGGCCUGAGAGGGUGACCGGCCACACUGGGACUGAGACACGGCCCAGACUCCUACGGGAGGCAGCAGUGGGGAAUAUUGCACAAUGGGCGCAAGCCUGAUGCAGCAACGCCGCGUGAGGGAUGACGGCCUUCGGGUUGUAAACCUCUUUUAGCAGGGAAGAAGCGAAAGUGACGGUACCUGCAGAAAAAGCACCGGCUAACUACGUGCCAGCCGCCGCGGUAA